UACAGAGGUCUCAAGCGUUGUUCGGAUUCAUUGGGCGUAAAGGGUGCGUAGGUGGCGGGGUAAGUCAGGUGUGAAAUCUCGGGGCUCAACCCCGAAACUGCACUUGAUACUGCCUUGCUCGAGUACUGGAGAGGAGAUUGGAAUUUACGGUGUAGCAGUGAAAUGCGUAGACAUCGUAAGGAAGACCAGUGGCGAAGGCGAAUCUCUGGACAGUUACUGACACUGAGGCACGAAGGCCAGGGGAGCAAACGGG
rnacentral:rRNA from 1 species